rnacentral:rRNA from 1 species
UGGGGAAUAUUGCACAAUGGGGGAAACCCUGAUGCAGCGACGCCGCGUGAGCGAAGAAGGUUUUCGAAUCGUAAAGCUCUGUCCUAUGGGAAGAUAAUGACGGUACCAUAGGAGGAAGCCCCGGCUAACUACGUGCCAGCAGCCGCGGUAAUACGUAGGGGGCAAGCGUUGUCCGGAAUCACUGGGCGUAAAGGGUUCGCAGGCGGAAAUGCAAGUCAGUUGUGAAAGGCAGAGGCUCAACCUCUGUAAGCAAUUGAAACUGUAUUUCUUGAGAUGUGGAGAGGCAAGUGGAAUUCCUAGUGUAGCGGUGAAAUGCGUAGAUAUUAGGAGGAAUACCGGUGGCGAAGGCGACUUUCUGGACUUGAACUGACGCUGAGGCACGAAAGCGUGGGGAGCAAACAGG